AUUGAACGCUGGCGGCAGGCCUAACACAUGCAAGUCGAGCGGAUGAAGAGAGCUUGCUCUCUGAUUUAGCGGCGGACGGGUGAGUAAUGCCUAGGAAUCUGCCUGGUAGUGGGGGAUAACGUUCCGAAAGGAACGCUAAUACCGCAUACGUCCUACGGGAGAAAGCAGGGGACCUUCGGGCCUCGCGCUAUCAGAUGAGCCUAGGUCGGAUUAGCUAGUUGGUGAGGUAAUGGCUCACCAAGGCUACGAUCCGUAACUGGUCUGAGAGGAUGAUCAGUCACACUGGAACUGAGACACGGUCCAGACUCCUACGGGAGGCAGCAGUGGGGAAUAUUGGACAAUGGGCGAAAGCCUGAUCCAGCCAUGCCGCGUGUGUGAAGAAGGUCUUCGGAUUGUAAAGCACUUUAAGUUGGGAGGAAGGGCAGUAAGUUAAUACCUUGCUGUUUUGACGUUACCGACAGAAUAAGCACCGGCUAACUUCGUGCCAGCCGCCGCGGUAAGAC
rnacentral:rRNA from 1 species